UACGGGGGGAGCAAGCGUUGUCCGGAUUUAUUGGGCGUAAAGGGCGUGUAGGUGGAUUUGUAAGUGAGUGGUGAAAUCCCGGGGCUUAACUCCGGAACUGCCUUUCAUACUGCAAAUCUCGAGUGCGAGAGGGGGAGAUGGAAUUCCUGGUGUAGCGGUGGAAUGCGUAGAUAUCAGGAGGAACACCGGUGGCGAAGGCGAUCUCCUGGCUCGCAACUGACACUGAGGCGCGAAAGCGUGGGGAGCAAACAGGAUUAGAUACCCCAGUA
rnacentral:rRNA from 1 species